CUGCUAUCGGAUGAUACUAAGCCAUGCGAGUCUUUGUAGUAAUACAAGGCAUACGGCUCAGUAACACGUAGUCAACCUACCCUAUGGACGAGAAUAAUCUCGGGAAACUGAGCAUAAUUCUUGAUAGAUCAUGAUGCCUGGAAUGGUUUAUGGUUAAAAUGAUUCGUCGCCAUAGGAUGGGACUGCGGCCUAUCAGCUUGUUGGUGAGGUAAUGGCCCACCAAGGCGAUUACAGGUACGGGCUCUGAGAGGAGAAGCCCGGAGAUGGGUACUGAGACACGGACCCAGGCCCUAUGGGGCGCAGCAGGCGAGAAAACUUUGCAAUGUGCGAAAGCACGACAAGGUUAAUCCGAGUGAUUUCUGCUAAAGAAAUCUUUUGCCAGUCAUAAAACCACUGGUGAAUAAGGGGUGGGCAAGUUCUGGUGUCAGCCGCCGCGGUAAAACCAGCACCUCAAGUGGUCAGGAUGAUUAUUGGGCCUAAAGCAUCCGUAGCCGGCUUUGUUAGUUUUCGGUUAAAUCCAUGUGCUCAACGCAUGGGCUGCCGAAAAUACUGCAUAGCUAGGGAGUGGGAGAGGUAGACGGUACUCAGUAGGAAGGGGUAAAAUCCUUUGAUCUAUUGAUGACCACCUGUGGCGAAGGCGGUCUACCAGAACACGUUCGACGGUGAGGGAUGAAAGCUGGGGGAGCAAACCGGAUUAGAUACCCGGGUAGUCCCAGCCGUAAACGAUGCAGACUCGAUGAUGCAUUGGCAUAAUAGCCAAUGCAGUGUCGCAGGGAAGCCGUUAAGUCUGCCGCCUGGGAAGUACGUACGCAAGUAUGAAACUUAAAGGAAUUGGCGGGGAGCACCACAAGGGUGAAGCCUGCGGU
rnacentral:rRNA from 1 species